CUGGGGGGCAAAGGCCACCAUUUUUCUCAGCCAUCUGACACUCGAGGUGGAGGUGAUGUGGUCCAGCCUAUUACCCCCAGAAGGGUUAACCCCCAGCAUUCCUUUGGAAAGCAGGGUGAGUGGACCUGGGAGCCGUCUGGAAGGAAUUGGAGCAAGCUCCAUCGCCUGCCUCCACGUGGGAUUGAGCUCAGCCUUCCGGUCAGGAGCCAGACGCCCUGCUGCCUGAGCUACCACUUCUCUGGGAGGUCCUGGACUAAAAAUAAUCUUGCGUGCAGGGGCCUGUGAACUGAAGGGACCGAAUCUCUAACGCGAGAUAAGAGGUUAAAAAAGUAUACUAAGGCCCUUCCUUUCACAAAGGGUGGCAGGUGUCUGGAACUACACUGUACACCGCGCUGCUGAAUUGGAUUCCUUUGGAUGGCGCUAGAGAGGUGGCCAGAAGCAGAGAGACAGAAACGCCACACUGCGGUACUGGAGUCUCUUCAGAAGUGUGUUUUUUUUGCUACCUGCUGCCUCCAUUCUGCUGCUUAAUCAAGGAGCAGACACGAUGGCGCCCCCCCCCACAACUCAAACACACACUUCAGAGGAAUGCCAGCUGUGUCUCAUGUAAGCCCCCUGGAGCUGAGUGGGCUCCCCAGUGCUGGUGCUGGAGGGGUGGAGUGAAACCCAGGCAUGUAGGCAUAUGGAGAGAGACAGGUUAUUCCGUGAGCUCUCCAGAGGGAGGCACAGAGAGGAAACAUGGGAGCAACAGCCUCACCAACAGCCCCCAAAACUGGAGAAGAACCCAGGACAGUAAUCCAGUUACUACACUACAAUCCAGUAAUCUAGUGGACUACACUGACACAGCACCAGCAACGCCUGCAGUAUAGCAACAAUGACAAGGGCACCACAGACCGGAGCAGAAUCAGGGGCUUUAGACUGUCACUGUCCAUGUGGACUACACUGACACAGCACCAGCAACAAUGACAACAGCAACAGCAUCAACCACUGCAACCCAGACAGCAACAGUACCACCCCAGCAACGGCAGAGGUAAAGAGCCACAACAACGCAGCAUCAACAGCAGUAAAACCCUGAAAACAACAGCAGCGAUAUUAACGGCAGCAACAACCUCAGCCUCUAGCCCAGCGAUGUCUCUAGAGACGCUCCCCUGUCUGCUGGGCCCGCCAGCCUCGGUGUUCAAAACAGGAAAGCUGGUGUUUAAUAAUUUGUGCUCAGGGUAAAAAAUGGAUGGGUCACUGAUAUAAAGAAAUAAAUAUCAAAGUAAAUACAAGUUGAAGAUAAAGAGAACUAAGAUAAAUAAGUUAAAAGUAAGAAUAGAUAAAUCCACCUUGAUUUUUAAUCUAUAGAGAAAAUAUUAUGCAUAUGAUAGAACUCCCACUGCAUGUACCUGUUCAGUACAUUAGACAGACAGAGAUGGGGAGAGAGAUAGGCAGAGACAGACAAUAAAUCACUUUUUUGGUCCGUUAACAGAUUGUCAGAUAAAAUGUAUUUACAGCACAUUCAUUCUUUAAAAAAGCAAUAAAAAAGCUCCAUUAUGGAACAAACCAAAAACACAUUAAGCCUGCAGAGCUACUGCAAGGAUACUUCUCUUUUAUCACCUCCAGGGUUUAAUAAGGGCUGCAGAAAUGGUGUCUGGCUGUUGUCAGCUUGCAUGCAGGGGGUUCCCCUGCAGCCCGUGCUGUGAAAGACAGACAACCAGGUGAAAGAGUGAGGGAGACAGAGGAGGAGAGUGAAAUAGAAAGAGGAAGACAGGGAGAGGGAGAGAGA
rnacentral:lncRNA from 1 species